rnacentral:rRNA from 1 species
AUAUUGGACAAUGGGCGCAAGCCUGAUCCAGCCAUGCCGCGUGGAUGAUGAAGGCCUUAGGGUUGUAAAGUCCUUUCGGCGGGGAAGAUAAUGACGGUACCCGCCGAAGAAGCCCCGGCUAACUUCGUGCCAGCAGCCGCGGUAAUACGAAGGGGGCUAGCGUUGCUCGGAAUCACUGGGCGUAAAGCGCACGUAGGCGGCUUCUUAAGUCAGGGGUGAAAUCCUGGAGCUCAACUCCAGAACUGCCUUUGAUACUGAGGAGCUUGAGUUCGGGAGAGGUGAGUGGAACUGCGAGUGUAGAGGUGAAAUUCGUAGAUAUUCGCAAGAACACCAGUGGCGAAGGCGGCUCACUGGCCCGAUACUGACGCUGAGGUGCGAAAGCGUGGGGAGCAAACAGG